UACAGAGGUCCCAAGCGUUGUUCGGAUUCAUUGGGCGUAAAGGGUGCGUAGGCGGCGCGGUAAGUCGGGUGUGAAAUCUCGGGGCUUAACUCCGAAACUGCAUUCGAUACUGCCGUGCUUGAGGACUGGAGAGGAGACUGGAAUUUACGGUGUAGCGGUGAAAUGCGUAGAUAUCGUAAGGAAGACCAGUGGCGAAGGCGGGUCUCUGGACAGUUCCUGACGCUGAGGCGCGAAAGCGUGGGUAGCAAACAGG
rnacentral:rRNA from 1 species